GGGCCUGUAGCUCAAUGGUUAGAGCCGGCCGCUCAUAACGGUCUGGUUGCAGGUUCGAGUCCUGCCGGGCCCA
rfam:Magnetospirillum magneticum AMB-1 DNA, complete genome.